rnacentral:rRNA from 1 species
UUGAAUGCUGGCGGCAUGCCUUACACAUGCAAGUCGAACGGUAGAGGGGCAACCCUUGAGAGUGGCGAACGGGUGAGUAAUGCAUCGGAACGUGCCCAGUCGUGGGGGAUAACGCAGCGAAAGCUGUGCUAAUACCGCAUGUGAUCUGUGGAUGAAAGCAGGGGACCGCAAGGCCUUGUGCGAUUGGAGCGGCCGAUGUCAGAUUAGCUAGUUGGUAGGGUAAAAGCCUACC